AUGCUUACCUGGCAGAGGAGACACUAUGAUCAUGAAGGCGGUUUCACCAGGGUGAGACUCACCCAUUGCACUCUGAGUGUGCUGAACCCCACGAUUUCCCCAAGUGCAGGAAAAUCAACUGCAUAAUUUGUGGUAGGGAAUGGUCUACUAAUGUUUUGUUUUAAAUUCAUUUU
ensembl:snRNA U1 U1 spliceosomal RNA